AUUGCUUUCUGGCAGUAAGCCUCUCUUUCUUCUUAUUUUCAGUCUUUAAACUAUGACCUCAGCUGAUCUGGGACAGUAAUCGAAGCUAUGUCUUGCUAACACAAUGAGAACAGCACUACAGAAGUUGCCUGGAAAAAUUCUGGGAUACUGGACUGGUUCAGUUUAUGUUAACUCACACACAGGAUUAUUUUAAAGUUCUUCAGUAUUCUUAACUGAAAGAAAAAAUGACAAGAACAGCAAUUCAAGUGUUAUUGCUCUAUUGCUUUUCUGCUAGGUGUGAGACAGCACUUUGCCCUGCUAAAUCACAGCAAAUAAUGUUCUGAAGUCAUUUCCAGAUUUAUACCUCAACCCAGAAGGUUGAUGCUAAGAUGUCUCCAGAAAUGGAUCAAAUUUUCAAUUCAAAUGAAUAGAGCAACUACGUAUCUCAUGCCUCAUAGAUCUCCAAAUUUAACUCGAAGCCUGUUCCUUUCUUCCAGAUGGCUCACAGAGUGGGAGUAGGGGGCAGAAUUAGCAAGCAAACCCAAAAAGACACAGUUGCUCUGUUUCCAAUGGUGUCUGCCUGCCAACCAGCUUUUACUGAAGCUAGUGUUACUAAGCAGAAAGAGUAUGCAAAGAGGUCAUGGAAGCACACAGCAGAAAGAACCUACAAGCCAAGAGAAGAGGCUCCAGAAUUUAACCUACAUUGGCCGCAAUUUGCUGUUGGACUUCUGGUGUACAGAACUUGAAUGAAAAAAUUCUCUGUCGUUCAGACUAUCCCAGAUGC
ensembl:lncRNA